AAAUCACACAAAUAUUACUUAUAACUGUUGUUGACACUUCUCUUACUUGUAUUUGACUCGCUUCUGUUGUUUUUUUACUUUAUAGGAAUGGUUUAAUGUCUUCGAAAAAGUCCGUUAGCAUUUCUACCGUUUUCAGACGACGUAUCGUCAGAAGGGAGUGUCCAAGAUUUCAAUAUUUCUGAAGGGAGCUGCUGACAGAGAUGUAGGAAGCGCUGAAAAGAUUCUUCAGUGCUGAUGGCCUGCUGCAUCCAGCAGAGUCGGAGUGAACCUACUGUAAGACAACAUCUCCAAGAUGCUAUUGACCACAUGACUAGUACAGGUUAUUAGAAACUGCACAGCACAGGACUUACAUUGACUUGUGAGGACUUCAGAUGAUACCAGUACUCAAAAGACCUUAGAUGAUGGCAACUAUAGAUGGACAUACAAACUACCGCCACUGCAAAAAAGAUUCUAAUUUGAAAGAAGUUUAUAAUGCAUGUUCGCUACUCCCAAUUCAAAAGACUGAAUCAGCCUGUGUAUCUGAAUGUUUCUCAUACUCACGCCUCUCUGCCGCGUCUGAAUUUUGGAUUUUCCUUAGCUGUCAGUUAUAAACGUCAAAAUUAAAAGAAAUAAACAUUUGAAAUAUAUCAGUCUGUGUGAAAUGAAUAAAUAUAAUAUACAAGUUUCACUUUUUGAAUGGAAUUAGUGAAAUAAAUCAACUUUUUGAUGAUAUUCUAAUUAUAUGACCAGCACCUGUAUAUCAUUGCUCUUUUGUUGAUUUUGAUUGCUUCCAUUGUCCUCAUUUGUAAGUUGCUUUGGAUAAAAGUGUCUGCUAAAUGUAAAUGUAAUGUUAAUGUGUAUUUAACCCUCUGGAGUCUAAGGGUAUUUUUGGGGCCUUGAGAAGUUUUGUCAUGCCCUGACAUUUGUGCUUUUUUCAGUUUCUUAUAUGGGUAAAUGGGUAAAGUCUAAUAUCACUGUAAUCAGCACAAACUGGGCUAUAAUAAUAUGUGAAAUGCAUGCAUGUACAUGAUUGUAUUUUUGAGAAAAAAAAUGUUAUGCAUGGUUAGUGAAAAACUAAAAAUGUUAAAUCACUUGAAUAAGGCCAUAAAACACAUACAUAAAAUUGGUUGCCGGAAAAGUUGAGAACUGGAGCUUGUAGCCUAGAAUUUUUCUUUCUGAAUGAUGUGAAAAUCAUCUUGUUUACUCACUCACAGAAAACAAUAUAUUGAUUCAAAUUUUCUAAAACACUUUUUGUUGGUAAAAGUCAUAUGCGAGUAGGCGUCAACUAUCAUGAAUAUCAUUGUGAUUUACACCUGAGAAGACAAAGGCCUGCAUAAUGAGCUGCAUAAUGAGCCUCUCAUUCAAUUGUGCCACUGUGAGGGAGAACUUACAAGAAAGAAUGUGAGAACAAAAUAAAAGUAUAUAAUUUUAUGUUUGUAGUUUAUUAAGAAUAUAUUUAAUUAUCCCACAACAUAAUUUAAUAUCCACUUGGGGGAGCAGUUAAACAGUUUAUUAGGAACAAUCAAAGCUGACUUUCAAACAAAUUUUUUGGCAUCCUUACUCCAGUCACACAAUCCUUAAGAAAUCCUUUUAACAAUCUUAUUUUCUACCAAAUAAACCCCAUUUAUUAUCAUCAUCAUCAUUAUUAUUAUUAUUAUUAUAAUUAAUGUUGAAAAGAGCUGAUAAUAUUUUUCAGGUUUUUUUAGGGGGAAUAAAUCGAAAGAACUGCAUUUGUUAGAGUUAUCUCUAUUUUAAUUACAUGGUUCUCUGUGCAUUUUGAGCAGUUUUGAGAUAUUGAGCUUCAAAGUGUUUGCAUUCCACAGACCAUUGUAGAUAGUGCAAUUGAUCAAAUUUGAUUGUCAUGUGCAUCUUGUCAGUAAAGCCAGUUCUGUGAUUAAUAGUAAAUCUCCAUUGUCUGUAUUCAGAUGAAGUGGCAUUUAGUACACAGAGCCGUAGUUCACCAACAAGCUAGGCAAUAUCGUGUUCAUAAUUGCAGACGAAUCGCCUUCGAUUAUGAACAUGAUAUUGACUAGCUUGUCGGUGAAGUACAGGUGAUGAGGAGUUUAGGGAAGUCGUGGCCUAGUGGUUAGAGAGUUUGACUUCUAACCCUAGGGUUGUGGAUUUGAAUCUCGGGCCGGCAAUACCACGACUUAGGUGUCCUUGAGCAAGGCAUCGAACCCCCAACUGCUCCCCAGGUGCCGCAGCAUAAAUGGCUGCCCUCUGCUCCGGGUGUGUGUUCACUGCUCUGUGUGUGUGCACUUUGGAUGGGUUAAAUGUAGAGCACGAAUUCUGAGUAUGGGUCACCUUAGUUGGCUGAAUGUCACAACACGUCAAAGAUUUACUAUUAAUGACAGAAUCAGCUUUACUGACGAGUUGUGCGUGAUAAUCUAAUUUGAUUAAUUGCAAAGCCCUAUUUGAAGAUUUUUUUAUUUUUAAAUAAAAAGACCCAAAAUGUACAUUACUUAA